CAAUGCCUCGUCAUCCAAUUAGUGACGCGCAUGAAUGGAUUAACGAGAUUCCCACUGUCCCUAUCUACUGUCUAGCGAAACCACAGCCAAGGGAACGGGCUUGGAAAAAUCAGCGGGGAAAGAAGACCCUGUUGAGCUUGACUCUAGUUUGACUUUGUGAAGAGACAUGGGAGGUGUAGCAUAAGUGGGAGAUCUUCGGAUCGACAGUGAAAUACCACUACUCCCAUCGUUUCUUUACUUACUCGAUGAGGCAGAGAGCGACUCUUAUUGGAGUCACCCUACUCGGCCAAAGUGACGGAGUGCUUCGGCACUCUUCACGAUCUGAUUCGAGGACAUUGUCAGGCGGGGAGUUUGACUGGGGCGGUACAUCUGUCAAAUACUAACGCAGGUGUCCUAAGGUUGGCUCCGUCAGGACAGAAACCUGGCUUAGAGCAAAAGGGCAAAAGCCAGCUUGAUCUAUGACGUUCAGUAAACGUAUAGACGGCGAAAGCCCGGCCUAUCGAUCCUUUUGACUUCUCGAGUUUAGAUCAAGAGGUGUCAGAAAAGUUACCACAGGGAUAACUGGCUUG
rnacentral:rRNA from 1 species